GCACGACACUCUGGAGAGAGGCGCCAGGCUGCGCCCGCCGAAGGGAUAGCGAUCUCAGGCAACAGGACAGAGGGGGCAUC
rnacentral:ncRNA from 1 species